UGGCCCCGCCUCUCGGUGACGUUACUUCCUCUCGUAGCCCCGCCUUGCAUGAGCAGUGCUUGGUGUCCAUGUGGUGGAGCGAAGGAAGCCAUGACAUGCGGCGUCCAUGAGCUGGGAUGGCUCAUCAGUGACCUCUGCUGAAGCCACGCAGAGCUGGAAAAUUUGAAUACUGGGAUGGGGCUCAGUUACAGUGAGCUGGUAGCAUGAGCUGAACUUGACAACCUUAUAUCCAGAGAUGACUGGAACAUCUCCUUCAGCUGGUAUGGCUCAUCAGUGGCCCCUGCUGAAGCCACGCAGAGCUGGAAAAUGUGAAUACUGGGAUGGGGCUCAGUUACAGUGAGCUGGUAGCAUGAGCUGAACUUGACAACCUUAUAUCAAGAGAUGACAGGAACAUCUCCAGGAUGCCAGUAUGUAUGGUCAGAGGAUGUUCAACUACAUACAUGAAGUAUCAUAUCAUCAGUCUUGUUCCUGGAUUUCCAACAGAAAAGGAACUUGUAAAGCAGUGGCUUCAGCAAAUGAAGCAAGACUUUGGGGACUUGAAACACCUGGCAGCAAGAAUUGUGAAAGGCCCCCGAGGAACUUUUAGAGUCUGUUCUCUUCACUUGUGAUUCUUAUGAUUUGAGAGGGUCCCAGACAUAUUUAAAAAAGGGGUGCCCUUCCAACUGUAUUUCCAGAAUUUACAUCUCAACAGCCAACAAAGCGUCAAUUUUUAACUGUAGGUCAGACAUCAAGUGCUCCAUUAACAAUUGAAUUGGGUACAACUCAUGCCAUACGGUCAACUUCUAAUGUACAAGAUCAGAAAAAAAAUUAACAAGACUAAUUUUAAAUGGGCCUACUGUGCAAAGUUUUUGAAGACCGACUUCUAGAAUAUAGCUAAAACUGAUGUUAACACCUUUAAAAAUUUUACAUUGUAAGGCUCUAGCCCAGCCUUUUACUGUAGUGAAAAGCCCCAUGCAUGAGAAAUUGAAAAGUAGGUUUUAGGUCAAACUAAGUCAAUGUAUAUAAAUGUUGCCUUGAAAAAGUAAUGCAAGUGA